rnacentral:rRNA from 1 species
AUUGAACGCUGGCGGCAGGCUUAACACAUGCAAGUCGAACGAGUGGCGGACGGGUGAGUAAUGCUUGGGAAUCUAGCUUAUGGAGGGGGAUAACUACGGGAAACUGUAGCUAAUACCGCGUACCAUAGGAUGAGCCCAAGUGGGAUUAGGUAGUUGGUGCGGUAAAGGCUCACCAAGCCGACGAUCUCUAGCUGGUCUGAGAGGAUGACCCACCACACUGGGACUGAGGCAAGGCCAAGACUCCGACGGGCGGCAGCGGUAGGGAAUAGUGCGCAAAGGGGGCGACCUGACGCAGCCAUGACGCGUGAAUGAAGAAGGCCUUCGGGUUGUAAAGUUCUUUCGAUAGCGAGGCGUUAAAUACAGAAGAAGCACCGGCUAACUCCGUGACAGCAGCCGCGGUAAUUC